UACAGAGGUCUCAAGCGUUGUUCGGAUUCAUUGGGCGUAAAGGGUGUGUAGGUGGCGCCGUGAGUCGGGUGUGAAAUUUCGGAGCUUAACUCCGAAACUGCAUUCGAUACUGCGGUGCUUGAGGACUGGAGAGGAGACUGGAAUUCAUGGUGUAGCAGUGAAAUGCGUAGAGAUCAUGAGGAAGACCAGUGGCGAAGGCGGGUCUCUGGACAGUUCCUGACACUGAGACACGAAGGCCAGGGGAGCAAACAGG
rnacentral:rRNA from 1 species